AUCUUUGCGCAGUGGCAGUAUCGUAGCCUAUGAGGUUUAUCCGAGGCGCGAUUAUUGCUAGUUGAAAACUUUACCCAAUACCCCGCCUUGACGACUUGAAAUAUAGUCGGCAAUGGCAAUUUUUGACGGUCUCUACGGAGG
ensembl:snRNA U4 U4 spliceosomal RNA